rfam:Chryseobacterium indologenes strain CI_885 contig_19, whole genome shotgun sequence.
GUAUGAUGGAGACCAGAAACCAUCUAUCAAACGGGGCAGAUUCCGAAAAGCCAUAGGAGUAGGGAAACUA